CCCACAGCCCCAGGGGACAGCAGCAGUAUUCACAGACAGUUGGAUGACCACCCCACCAGACCCCCACAGCCCCAGGGGACAGCAGCAGUAUUCACAGAGCCAAACGGAGCCCAAGGAAACAAUCUGACUCAGAAUCAACUGGGAAACGGAAAGAAACGGAAAGAAGAAAGAAAGGAAGGAAGAGGGCUCCUCCUGGAGCUCAGGGCUCCCCCAGUCCACCUGGUUCCCCAGGCCCCCAGGGGCCUCCAGGUAUUCCUGGUAUCCCUGGUAUUCCUGGUAGAAACGCUGUGGGCCUCGCUGGACCUCCUGGUC